rnacentral:lncRNA from 1 species
CUGGGAUGGGGAUGAUACCUGCAUGCUUCCUGGCAUCAUGGGCGGCCAAGAGCUUCCAAUGCCACAGCUGCUGCCCGGCUGGGAGCCCCACGCCCGCCACCACUGAUUGCAGUGUGUGCCAUUUGUUACAUUUUUAACAGCCCUGCUAGGCCCAGGCUGUCUGAGCCGAGCCAAAGGCGGGCCCUGAUCUUGAUUGCAGUGCUAAAAAUACUGGCGAGGCUUCUGAUGAGAGCAGGGGGCUUGGCCUCCCCUUGGCCCAGCCCCUCAGCUCUUUGCUGCCUUUGCUGUCUUCCUUCAGAGUGGCUUGGGGGACCCUGGCGGCUGGGGGGCAGGGAACCUUCUUCACUCUCAAACAAGCAUCAGGGCCAAAGGCAGAAUGCCCCCCCGCCACCCCGUUCUGGGUAACUGAUGGCAGGGAGGGAGGCUUUCUGAAUGCUGGGAAUCCCAGGUGUCAUCUGUGCUCUGUGGACAGUCCUGUGAUCUGUUGGGACUCAGGUGUGAGGUGUGGUGGAUCUGUGCUGAGAAGAGAGCUAAAACUUCCCCGGCUACUCUGUGCCUUUCUUCCCUUGCUCCCCACUUCCAGUCGCUGUUCAAAUCUUGUAGGUUCUACUGUCUACUUGAUCUCUUCCAUCCUCUUUCCAGUCCCUUGGCCUCUGCUCAGCUCAGUCCCCUUUCUGAGCAUUCCUCCAACACCCUCCAGGUCACCCAUUGUUGUCAGUAGAUUUUCCUAAAACUCAGCUUCUUUUGGCCAUUUCUCUUCCUCUAAUCCUGUCUCCUUGGGCCAGUAUGUAAGACAUUCCAUGAUCUGACCUUGGCGGAUUGUUCUAAACUGAUUUCCGUCCCAGGCACCCUCAGUAACAAGUCAUGUUGGACUGUUCUCUGUUCCUGGUACAUGUCUCAGUGUCAUCUUGCCUCCGUUUCCUAAGUGGUCAAUCUGUGAGAAGCUGAAGGCAAAUCACUUCAGAACACUGUCAAUUAGCAUAAUUACAAAGCUCAUGGACCCUUUUGCUGGAGUGGUGGGCUGGGGAACAGAC